rnacentral:rRNA from 1 species
AAGCAUAUCAAUAAGCGGAGGAAAAGAAACUAACAAGGAUUCCCCUAGUAACUGCGAGUGAAGCGGGAAAAGCUCAAAUUUAAAAUCUGGCGGUCUUUGGCCGUCCGAGUUGUAAUCUAGAGAAGUAAUGCCCGUGCUGGACCGUGUAUAAGUCUCCUGGGAUGGGGCGUCAUAGAGGGUGAGAAUCCCGUCUUUGACACGGACUACCAGUGCAUUGUGGUAUGCUCUCAAAGAGUCGAGUUGUUUGGGAAUGCAGCUCAAAAUGGGUGGUAAAUUCCAUCUAAAGCUAAAUAUUGGCGAGAGACCGAUAGCGAACAAGUACCGUGAGGGAAAGAUGAAAAGAACUUUGGAAAGAGAGUUAAACAGUACGUGAAAUUGCUGAAAGGGAAACGCUUGAAGUCAGUCGCGUUGGCCAGGGAUCAGCCUUGCUCUUGCAUGGUGUACUUUCUGGUUGACGGGUCAGCAUCAAUUUUGACCGCUGGAAAAGGGCCUGGGGAAUGUGGCAGCUUCGGCUGUGUUAUAGCCCCUGGUCGCAUACGGUGGUUGGGAUUGAGGAACUCAGCACGCCGCAAGGCCGGGUUUCGACCACGUUCGUGCUUAGGAUGCUGGCAUAAUGGCUUUAAGCGACCCG